rnacentral:rRNA from 1 species
GACGAACGCUGGCGGCGUGCUUAACACAUGCAAGUCGAACGGUGAAGCUCCAGCUUGCUGGAGUGGAUCAGUGGCGAACGGGUGAGUAACACGUGAGCAACCUGCCCCUGACUCUGGAAUAAGCGCUGGAAGCGGCGUCUAAUACUGGAUACGAGAAGGGUCCGCAUGGGCACUUUCUGGAAAGUUUUUCGGUUGGGGAUGGGCUCGCGGCCUAUCAGCUUGUUGGUGAGGUAAUGGCUCACCAAGGCGACGACGGGUAGCCGGCCUGAGAGGGCGACCGGCCACACUGGGACUGAGACACGGCCCAGACUCCUACGGGAGGCAGCAGUGGGGAAUAUUGCACAAUGGGCGAAAGCCUGAUGCAGCGACGCCGCGUGAGGGAUGACGGCCUUCGGGUUGUAAACCUCUUUCAGCAGGGAAGAAGCGAAAGUGACGGUACCUGCAGAAGAAGCACCGGCUAACUACGUG